AGGAAUAUUGGACAAUGGGGGAAACCCUGAUCCAGCCAUGCCGCGUGAGUGAUGAAGGCCUUCGGGUUGUAAAACUCUUUUAGAUGUGACGAUGAUGACGGUAACAUCAGAAAAAGCUCCGGCUAACUUCGUGCCAGCAGCCGCGGUAAUACGAAGGGAGCGAGCGUUGUUCGGAAUCACAGGGCUUAAAGAGUGCGUAGGCGGAAGUGUAAGUCAGAAGUGAAAGCCCAGGGCUCAACCUUGGAAUUGCUUUUGAGACUGCAUUUCUAGAAUUCGGUAGAGGCUGAUGGAAUGUCCAGUGUAGAGGUGAAAUUCGCAGAUAUUGGACGGAACACCAGUGGCGAAGGCGAUCAGCUGGGCCGAUAUUGACGCUGAGGCACGAAAGCGUGGGUAGCAAACA
rnacentral:rRNA from 1 species